rnacentral:rRNA from 1 species
AUUGAACGCUGGCGGCAGGCUUAACACAUGCAAGUCGAGCGGGGUGAUGGUGCUUGCACUAUCACUUAGCGGCGGACGGGUGAGUAAUUCUUAGGAAUCUGCCUAUUAGUGGGGGACAUCAUUUCGAAAGGGAUGAUAAUACCGCAUACGUCCUACGGGAGAAAGCAGGGGAUCAUUUGUGACCUUGCGCUAAUAGCUGAGCCUAAGUCGGAUUAGCUAGUUGGUGGGGUAAAGGCCUACCAAGGCGACGAUCUGUAGCGGGUCGGAGAGGAUGAUCCGCCACCCUGGGACUGAAACACGGCCCAGACUCCUACGGGAGGCAGCAGUGGGGAAUAUUGGACAAUGGGGGGAACCCUGGUCCAGCCAUGCCGCGUGUGUGAAGAAGGCCUUAUGGUUGUAAAGCACUUUAAGCGAGGAGGAAGCUCUUUUGGUUAAUACCCAAGAUGAGUGGACGUUACUCGCAGAAUAAGCACCGGCUAACUCUGUGCCAGCAGCCGCGGUAA